rnacentral:rRNA from 1 species
ACGGAAGGUGCAAGCGUUGUUCGGAAUGAUUGGGCGUAAAGCGCACGUAGGCGGUUUUGUAAGUUAGAUGUGAAAUCCCCGGGCUUAACCCGGGAAGGUCGUCUAAGACUGCAAAUCUUGAAUGCUUGAGAGGUUGGUGGAAUUCCUGGUGUAGGAGUGAAAUCCGUAGAUAUCAGGAGGAACAUCGGAGGCGAAGGCGGCCAACUGGCGAAGCAUUGACGCUGAGGUGCGAAAGCGUGGGUAGCAAACAGGA